rnacentral:rRNA from 1 species
GACGAACGCUGGCGGCAGGCUUAACACAUGCAAGUCGAGCGGAAAGGCCCUGCUUAUGUGGGGUGCUCGAGGGGCGAACGGGUGAGUAACACGUGUGUAACCUGCCCUUGACUUUGAGAUAACGUCAGGAAACUGAGGCUAAUACCGGAUAGGAGCUCCUGCUGCAGGGUGGGGGUUGGAAAGUUUCGGCGGUUGGGGAUGGAAUGGCGGCUUAUCCGCUUGUUGGGUGGGUAGUGGCUUAGCAAGGCUUUGACGCGUAGCCGGGCUGAGAGGCGGACAGGAUCCGUUGGGACUGAGAUGAGGCACAGACUCGAACGGGACGCAGCGGUGGAGAAGAGUGCACUAGGGGCGGAAGGCUGAUGCAGCAACGCCGCGUGCGGGAUGAGGGGCUUCGGGUUGGGAACCGCUUUCGCCUGAGAUGAAGCGUGAGUGACGGUAACGGGUGAAGAAGCACCGGCUAACUACGUG